GAUGAACGCUGGCGGCGUGCCUAAUACAUGCCAGUCGAGCGAACAGACGAGGAGCUUGCUCCUUCGACGUUAGCGGCGGACGGGUGAGUAACACGUAGGUAACCUACCUAUAAGACUGGGAUAACUUCGGGAAACCGGAGCUAAUACCGGAUAAUAUUUCGAACCGCAUGGUUCGAUAGUGAAAGAUGGCUUUGCUAUCACUUAUAGAUGGACCUGCGCCGUAUUAGCUAGUUGGUAAGGUAACGGCUUACCAAGGCAACGAUACGUAGCCGACCUGAGAGGGUGAUCGGCCACACUGGAACUGAGACACGGUCCAGACGCCUACGGGAGGCAGCAGUAGGGAAUCUUCCGCAAUGGGCGAAAGCCUGACGGAGCAACGCCGCGUGAGUGAUGAAGGUCUUCGGAUCGUAAAACUCUGUUAUUAGGGAAGAACAAACGUGUAAGUAACUGUGCACGUCUUGACGGUACCUAAUCAGAAAGCCACGGCUAACUACGUG
rnacentral:rRNA from 1 species